rnacentral:rRNA from 1 species
AUAGCUACUUGCAUCAUUGUAAAUAUGAUGCAAGAUCGACUAUGUCGAAUAAAAUUCUAGGUAGAAUUAUGAUAAUGACAUUGUCUGCCUAUGUGUCUUGACCAAAUUACGUGCCAGCAGUCGCGGUAAUACGUAGAAGACUAGUGUUAUUCAUGUUUAAUCGGUUUAAAGGGUACCUAGACGGUAAAUCAAGCCUAAAAGGAAAGAAAUGAAGGGACUAAUUUACUAGAGUUACUUAUGAGGGGGUAUUAAAGUACUGCUGGUGUAGAGAUGAAAUUCUGUCAUACCUCUUUUCAAUAGAAAAAUAAUGGCACAGGUAUAGGCGAAAGCAUCCCCUUAUGUGAUAACUGACGUUGAGGGACGAAGGCUUUGUGUAGCGAACAGGAUUAGAUACCCCAGUAGUCAAAGCAGAAAAUGAUGAAUGUCAUAGAUUAGAUAUAUAAGUUUAUUCUAUAAAUGAAAGUGUAAGCAUUCCMCCUCAAGAGUAAUUUGGCAACAUUGGAACUGAAAUCAUUAGACCGUUUCUGAAACCAGUAGUGAAGUAUGUUGUUUAAUUUGAUGAUCCGCAAAAAACCUUACCACAAUUUGAAUAUUUAUAUCUUAUAUUGUUUUUUUUUUUAACUUUAUUCUAAUUUUCUACUUAAAAGAAAACAAUAACAAGAAAAAAGAGACAAGAAGAUAUAUUUACAAGCGUUGCACGGCUGUCUUCAGUUAAUGUCGCGAGACUAUGGUUAGUUCCAUUAAAUUAACGUAAACCCUUACUUUAUUUUUAUAUAGAGUAGUUCCCCGCUAUAUUGGAUAUGAUAACAGGGACUAAGACAAGUCAUC